ensembl:lncRNA
AUGCAAGUGCAUGUGUUCAAAUAUUCCAUCAUGUUAUUUUUAUAUUUCUUUUUUCAGGAAAAGUGCAAAAUGUUUCAAAUUCCUGUUCAAAAUCUUGAUAACAUCAGGAAGGCUCGAAAAAAGGUGAAGGGCAUUCUUGUGGAUAUUGGGCUUGACAGCUGCAGGGAAUUGUUGAAGGGGUGGAACUUCGAGUUUCCGGCAACGUUAUGUGCUAAAACACUAUUUCUCAACAAGAUGUGUUAUAGAUGGUGCUGCAUACUCUCUGCUAGUAAUAUUUCAGCAAAAGGAAACACUACAGCUUCAGGUGGAUUUCUGGACAUGGUGCUCUUGAGGCAGGACAACUAA